UACAUGGGGUGCAACCGUUGCUCGGAAUUAUUGGGCGUAAGGCGCACGUAGGCGGUUCAUUAAGUCGGAUGUGAAAGCCCUCGGCUCAACUGAGGAAGUGCACCCGAAACUGGCGAGCUUGAGUACGAAAGAGGAUCGCGGAAUUCCCGGUGUAGAGGUGAAAUUCGUAGAUAUCGGGAGGAACACCGGUGGCGAAGGCGGCGAUCUGGGUCGAUACUGACGCUGAGGUGCGAAAGCGUGGGGAGCAAACAGG
rnacentral:rRNA from 1 species